AUUGUACUCCUUCCGUCCGGAAAUACUUGUCACGAAUAUGGAUAUAAAUGGAUGCAUCUAAAACUAAAAUACGUUUAGAUACAUCCAUUCCUCUUAUAAGUAUUUUUGAACGGAGGGAGUAUAUA
rfam:Triticum aestivum genome assembly, contig: Triticum_aestivum_CS42_TGACv1_scaffold_456589_5DS